AUGCAUGUCGGUACGAUCAUGGAGUCGAAUGAUGCGACUUUCUUUGAAGAUAUCUUUCCCAUGAAGGAUAUGUCUACCUCAUCUAAUCAGGAGAUGCCUAGUUCAUCGAAUCAGGAACCAGUUACAAUUACCGAACCUGCCAUUUCGAUGGAACACUUUGAAAGUCCCGUGGAGGAGAACAAUGAAGUUCCUAUUAGGAGCAAGAGACAAAGGACUGCAAAGUCCUUUGGUGAUGAUUUUCUUGUGUAUCUCAUAGAUGACACUCCCAGUUCUAUUUCGGAGGCCUAUGCAUCGGAGGAUGCAGACUACUGGAAGGAAGCGGUUCGUAGCGAGAUGGAUUCCAUCUUGGUGAAUGAAACCUGGGAGAUAACUAAUCGUCCUUAUGGGUGCAAACCUAUAGGAUGCAAAUGGGUAUUCAAGAAGAAGCUUAGGCCUGAUGGCUUUGUUGUGAACGAAGCUGACAAAUGUGUGUACUAUCGCCAUGGUGGGGGCGAGGGAGUUAUGCGUUGCUUGUAUGUUGAUGACAUACUAAUAUUCGGAACAAAUCUGAAUGUUGUUAAGGAGGUCAAGGAUUUCCUAUCUCGCUAUUUUGAGAUGAAGGAUUUAGGAGUGGCUGAUGUCAUUUUGAACAUCAAGUUGUUGAGAGAUGAUGAUGGUGGGAUUACAUUGCUUCAAUCUCACUAUGUGGAAAAGAUCUUGAGUUGCUUUGGCUAUAGUGACUGCAAGCCUUCUCCAACACCAUAUGAUGCUAGCGUGCUGCUUCGAAAGAAUCGAAGAAUUGCUAGAGAUCAAUUGAAGUAUUCUCAGAUUAUUGGCUCGCUUAUGUACUUAGCAAGUGCUACAAGACCUGACAUCUCUUUUGUGCUUGAAGGGUAUAGUGACUCAAACUGGAUCUCAGAUGCUGAUGAGAUAAAGGCCACGAGUGGUUAUGUAUUCACUCAUGGAGGUGGCGCUGUUUCUUGGAAGUCUUGCAAGCAGACCAUCUUAACGAGGUCAACAAUGGAAGCAGAACCCACAUCACUAGAUACAGCUACGGUUGAAGCAGAUUGGCUUCACCGACUCUUGAAUGACUUGCCGGUUGUUGAGAAACCUAUACCGGGUGUCCUUAUGAACUGCGACAAUCAAACUGUGAUCACGAAAGUUAAAGUCUGUCAGGAAAAUGAAAAACUCCGGAGUUAUUGCGUUGGAUUAUAUCCAAACAUCUAA
rnacentral:rRNA from 1 species